UACACUCCUACGGGAGGCAGCAGUGGGGAAUAUUGGACAAUGGGCGCAAGCCUGAUCCAGCCAUGCCGCGUGAGUGAUGAAGGCCCUAGGGUUGUAAAGCUCUUUCACCGGUGAAGAUAAUGACGGUAACCGGAGAAGAAGCCCCGGCUAACUUCGUGCCAGCAGCCGCGGUAAUACGAAGGGGGCUAGCGUUGUUCGGAUUUACUGGGCGUAAAGCGCACGUAGGCGGACUAUUAAGUCAGGGGUGAAAUCCCGGGGCUCAACCCCGGAACUGCCUUUGAUACUGGUAGUCUUGAGUUCGAGAGAGGUGAGUGGAAUUCCGAGUGUAGAGGUGAAAUUCGUAGAUAUUCGGAGGAACACCAGUGGCGAAGGCGGCUCACUGGCUCGAUACUGACGCUGAGGUGCGAAAGCGUGGGGAGCAAACAGGAUUAGAUACCCCGGUAGUCCCAUGAU
rnacentral:rRNA from 1 species